rnacentral:rRNA from 1 species
CACCAGACUCCUACGGGAGGCAGCAGUGGGGAAUAUUGCACAAUGGGGGAAACCCUGAUGCAGCGACGCCGCGUGAGCGAUGAAGUAUUUCGGUAUGUAAAGCUCUCUCAGCAGGGAAGAAAAUGACGGUACCUGACUAAGAAGCCCCGGCUAACUACGUGCCAGCAGCCGCGGUAAUACGUAGGGGGCAAGCGUUAUCCGGAUUUACUGGGUGUAAAGGGAGCGUAGACGGCUGUGCAAGCCAGAUGUGAAAGCCCGGGGCUCAACCCCGGGACUGCAUUUGGAACUGUGUGGCUGGAGUGUCGGAGAGGCAGGCGGAAUUCCUAGUGUAGCGGUGAAAUGCGUAGAUAUUAGGAGGAACACCAGUGGCGAAGGCGGCCUGCUGGACGAUGACUGACGUUGAGGCUCGAAAGCGUGGGGAGCAAACAGGAUUAGAUACCCGCGUACUC